CUGAGUUUGUCUGCCUAUAUACAAUGAUUUUAUCUUGUAAAAAGUAUUUUUCUAUAUAAGAGUUGGAAUAUUGUUAUAGUUUAUCUUAAAAGAACAAUCAAGUAAAUUUCUGAAGAUAAAUUAGGAGAGACACUACCAGUAUAAAAACAUAGGGUAGUGGUGGAAAUUUUAUUCUGAGAAAGACCCAAGGUGAAGAGGGAAAUCAAGAGAAAUUCAUCAUGUACCAUUCAAAUGACUUUCUUGAUAAUAAUACCAUCAGUCGGAGACCAUAACAAGGAUAGAGAACUAUCUAGAAACAAUAGAAAACCCUCCUGAGACCAUUAAAAGGAUAAAAAACUAUCAAAAACAAGAAACCAUUACAAUAUUAUAAGACUGUAUAGACAAUAAUACAGUACCAUAUGUAUACUGGAGCAUAGCAAGGUUAAAAGAGAAUUCAUAAACAAUAACAGUUCAAUCCAGAAACCAUUAUAAGGAAAAAGACUAUCUAGACAAUCAUAUAGUACCACCAAGAAACCAUAACAAGGAUAAAGAAAAUAUUUAGAAAAUAAUACACUUUUAUCUACAAACAAUUUAUAAAAAGAAUAAAAGACUAGUCUAGAGAAAAGUAAAGUACCUACAAGGACAGAAAGAAUUAAUAGACUGUAAACCAGUACCAUCCGGAAACCAUUACAAGGAUUAAAGACUAUCUAAACAACAAUACAGUAACCUUCCAGAAACCAU